rnacentral:rRNA from 1 species
CAGUAGCCGCGGGAAUACGGAGGGAGCUAGCGUUGUCCGGAAUUACUGGGCGUAAAGCGCUCGUAGGCGGUUACUCAAGUCAGAGGUGAAAGCCCGGGGCUCAACCCCGGAACUGCCUUUGAAACUAGGUAACUAGAACCUUGGAGAGGUCAGUGGAAUCCCGAGUGUAGAGGUGAAAUUCGUAGAUAUUCGGAUGAACACCAGUGGCGAAGGCGACUGACUGGACAAGUAUUGACGCUGAGGUGCGAAAGCGUGGGGAGCAAACAGGAUUAGAUACCCGAGUAGUCCCUGUCUCUUAUAU